GUGUGCCGACUAAGGAUGUUGGGGAAGGAUGUGGAACAAAGCCCAGCCUCCUAGCACAUACCAGCAACCUCCUGGGAGGACCCAAGCUGCUCCAAUCUCUCGGAUCCUUGAGAGGCUUUGCCCACUCCAUGUGAAGGCCCCAGGAGAAACCUGAGUCCCAAAGAGAUCUGCCCUGGGAUUAUCAGCCCUUUUCACAGGACAAGCCAGUCACAUGAAAGACCCAUCUGGCUAUGUCCACAUGAUCAGGAACAGAAGGCAGAAGGAUGUAACUCUUGGACUGUGCUCAUCAGCUGAAACACGGAUGUGACCCAAGACCCAUUGAAGGAUCAACAGCUAAAUGAAAUGCAGGAUCCAAUGGCCUUAAAAAGGAAGGAUAGCUGAUGUAUUUAUUGUACAAGAGGACUGAAACUUAAUUCCCAGCAUGCACAUGGAGGCUCACAACCAACCAUAGCUUCCUGAGGAUCCAACAACCUGUCUUCCCCAGGUACCAGAUAUGCACAUAGUGCAGAGACAUGAAUGCAGCCAAAACAACACAUACAUAAAAUGAUAGUGGUAAGGCCUGAA